CGGACUGGCGGCGUGCCUAACACAUGCAAGUCGAACGGAGAUUUAACGCUGAUGAAGCUUCGGCAGAUUCUUGUAAAUCUAGUGGCGGACGGGUGAGUAACGCGUGGGCAACCUGCCUCAUACUGGGGGAUAACAGCUGGAAACGACUGUUAAUACCGCAUAAGCGCACAGCAUCGCAUGAUGCAGUGUGAAAAAACUCCGGUGGUAUGAGAUGGGCCCGCGUCAGAUUAGCCAGUUGGCAGGGUAACGGCCUACCAAAGCGACGAUCUGUAGCCGGCCUGAGAGGGCGGACGGCCACAUUGGGACUGAGACACGGCCCAAACUCCUACGGGAGGCAGCAGUGGGGGAUAUUGCACAAUGGAGGAAACUCUGAUGCAGCGACGCCGCGUGAAGUGAAGAAGUAUUUCGGUAUGUAAAGCUCUAUCAGCAGGGAAGAAAGACUCGUAAGAGAGAUGACGGUACCUGACUAAGAAGCCCCGGCUAACUACGUGCCAGCAGCCGC
rnacentral:rRNA from 1 species